GGGUGAUUAGCUCAGCUGGGAGAGCGUCUGCCUUACAAGCAGAAUGUCGGCGGUUCGAUCCCGUCAUCACCCA
rfam:Pseudomonas fluorescens HK44 Contig7, whole genome shotgun sequence.